UACGUAGGGUGCAAGCGUUGUCCGGAAUUAUUGGGCGUAAAGAGCUCGUAGGCGGUCUGUCACGUCGGCUGUGAAAACCCGAGGCUCAACCUCGGGCCUGCAGUCGAUACGGGCAAACUAGAGUACUGCAGGGGAGACUGGAAUUCCUGGUGUAGCGGUGAAAUGCGCAGAUAUCAGGAGGAACACCGGUGGCGAAGGCGGGGUCUCUGGACAGUUCCUG
rnacentral:rRNA from 1 species